GACGAACGCUGGCGGCGUGCUUAACACAUGCAAGUCGAACGGAAAGGCCCUGCUUUUGUGGGGUGCUCGAGUGGCGAACGGGUGAGUAACACGUGAGUAACCUGCCCUUGACUUUGGGAUAACUUCAGGAAACUGGGGCUAAUACCGGAUAGGAGCUCCUGCUGCAUGGUGGGGGUUGGAAAGUUUCGGCGGUUGGGGAUGGACUCGCGGCUUAUCAGCUUGUUGGUGGGGUAGUGGCUUACCAAGGCUUUGACGGGUAGCCGGCCUGAGCGGGUGACCGGCCACAUUGGGACUGAGAUACGGCCCAGACUCGUACGGGAGGCAGCAGUGGGGAAUAUUGCACAAUGGGCGGAAGCCUGAUGCAGCACCGCCGCGUGCGGGAUGACGGCCUGCGGGUUGUAAACCGCUUUCGCCUGUGACGAAGCGUGAGUGACGGUAAUGGGUAAAUAAGCACCGGCUAACUACGUG
rnacentral:rRNA from 1 species